rnacentral:tRNA from 1 species
GCGGAAUUAGCUCAUCCGGUAGAGCGCGACCUUCCCAAGGUUGAGGUGGCGGGUUCGAGUCCCGUAUUCCGCUCCA